AACGAACGCUGGCGGCAUGCCUAACACAUGCAAGUCGAACGAGACCUUCGGGUCUAGUGGCGCACGGGUGCGUAACGCGUGGGAAUCUGCCCUUGGGUUCGGAAUAACAGUUAGAAAUGACUGCUAAUACCGGAUAAUGUCUUCGGACCAAAGAUUUAUCGCCCAGGGAUGAGCCCGCGUAGGAUUAGCUAGUUGGUGAGGUAAAGGCUCACCAAGGCGACGAUCCUUAGCUGGUCUGAGGGGAUGAUCAGCCACACUGGGACUGAGACACGGCCCAGACUCCUACGGGAGGCAGCAGUGGGGAAUAUUGGACAAUGGGCGAAAGCCUGAUCCAGCAAUGCCGCGUGAGUGAUGAAGGCCUUAGGGUUGUAAAGCUCUUUUACCCGGGAUGAUAAUGACAGUACCGGGAGAAUAACGCCCCGGCUAACUCCGUGCCAGCAGCCGCGGUAAU
rnacentral:rRNA from 1 species